GCAACGGUUUUUUUUAAAACCACACAAGCAAAAGCUCUGUAGUUU
rfam:Opisthorchis viverrini opera_v5_106.45, whole genome shotgun sequence.